GCGGGCGUGGCGGAAUUGGUAGACGCGCUGGUUUUAGGUACCAGUGAGGCAACUCGUGGGGGUUCAAGUCCCUCCGCCCGCACCA
rnacentral:tRNA from 1 species